AGGCUUGCUCGGGUUGCCUUCUCGAUCCUUCCGCGGCUCCUCCUUGGGAGGUGUCGUCGUUGCGUCGGAUGCUUCUCGUCUCGCGUUGGGACGACGCAUGAGUGGCUAUUAGGAUAUGUUCCCACGGCAGGCUCCGUGUUUCAGGCAUCGAACUGCUUUGGUCUAUCCGUUUCAUCUGUUGGAUCGCCUCGACCCUUUUAGGGUCGGUUGCGAUUCCUCGCUGGGUUCCUGUGUUGGUUAUCCGAUUGCGGUAGUUGGACGGAUUGUUGUCCCCGUAUGGGUUCCGCUGAUUUUCCUCCGCCUUCCGGGCGUUGGUGGGUUAUCGUGCGGGCAUCGAAGAUGUUCGUCCGGGCCGUUGUCCCCCGUUAGGGCGCUUCUGCUCGAGACGGCUAGUCGAUGCUAUCGCCGCACUCUCGGGUACGGUUAUUUCCGCUGGCCAUCGCAAUAGGUGUUCGCCGGCCGAUGCGCUCUCUACGCGUCGAAAGCGUUAUUGCUUCCGCUCGCGCGACCCUCGUGCUUGUCUAAGAGCUCACGGGGCAUCCUUGUUCCGUGUUCAUCUCGGGCAUGCGUCGAGGUCUACGAAAGAAUGCUACCUGGUUGA
rnacentral:misc_RNA from 1 species